rnacentral:rRNA from 1 species
UACGUAGGUGGCAAGCGUUAUCCGGAAUUAUUGGGCGUAAAGAGCGCGCAGGUGGUUGAUUAAGUCUGAUGUGAAAGCCCACGGCUUAACCGUGGAGGGUCAUUGGAAACUGGUCGACUUGAGUGCAGAAGAGGGAAGUGGAAUUCCAUGUGUAGCGGUGAAAUGCGUAGAGAUAUGGAGGAACACCAGUGGCGAAGGCGGCUCUCUGGUCUGUAACUGACGCUGAGGUGCGAAAGCGUGGGGAUCAAACAGGAUUAGA